AUGUGUUAUCUUCGGAGAGGAGUUGUGCUAACAAAAGACAACCUCGCUCGACGCAACUGGCAAGGAAGUAAGAAGUGUAGCUUUUGUACUCAUGACGAGACAAUUAAACACCUCUUCUUUCAGUGCAAGUUCGCGCAUUCUAUAUGGUAAGUCAUCCAAAUAGCGUCCAAUUUGUAUCCGCCAACAAGUGUUGCCAAUAUAUAUGGUCACUGGCUUGAUGGAAUACCAAAUACUUUUAGUACGCUAAUACGGGUGGGAGUGUCUGCCUUAUUAUGGUCGCUUUGCCUAUGUAGAAACAAUUGUGUUUUUAAUGGCAAAACCUCUUCUUCUAUGCGAGUUAUUUACCGUUGUACGCACUGGCUUCGUAAGUGA
rnacentral:rRNA from 1 species